GUGAGGAAUAUUGGUCAAUGGGCGGGAGCCUGAACCAGCCAAGUCGCGUGAAGGAAGAAGGAUCUAUGGUUCGUAAACUUCUUUUGCAGGGGAAUAAAGUGCAGGACGUGUCCUGUUUUGUAUGUACCCUGAGAAUAAGGAUCGGCUAACUCCGUGCCAGCAGCCGCGGUAAUACGGAGGAUCCGAGCGUUAUCCGGAUCUAUUGGGUUUAAAGGGUGCGUAGGUGGUUUGAUAAGUCAGCGGUGAAAGUUUGCAGCUUAACUGUAAAAAUGCCGUUGAAACUGUCGGACUUGAGUGUAAAUGAGGUAGGCGGAAUGCGUGGUGUAGCGGUGAAAUGCAUAGAUAUCACGCAGAACUCCGAUUGCGAAGGCAGCUUACUAAGCUACAACUGACACUGAAGCACGAAAGCGUGGGGAUCAAACAGGAUUAGAAACCCUGGUAGUCC
rnacentral:rRNA from 1 species